CACUGGCCCUAUCGAAGCUAUACUUCAUCUGUUCCGUGAUCAUGUGUAGUCAAAAUGAGGCCAAGAGCAACUUCUCUCAACGGUCGCCCACUGACAUGUGUUUUUUGGGCAUUACCAAU